CUCAGUCACCUUGGAUCUUUCCUCUGUAUUUCUUUUAUCGAGAUACCGUUCACUUUCGCAUUUACAGCCUUUACGUUCCAUAGUCUUCCCAUCUGUUCGGUCGGUCUUUUACACUGUUCCCUCUGCGACACUGUUUUCGACUCGACUCGACACUCUCGACACGCGUCAGUUUUACCGGACAAUGCGGAAACCGUGGUUCCCUGUCGUUUUAACUGUUAGGAUAACGCGAUUCGCAGCCAAUUAUUAAACGAUUCGAAAGGUCAAAAGCAAACGAAUCCCCGACAUUGAGAAGAGGCUAGCGCCGUAAUCUAGUGAAAUUUCUUGUACACAGGUGCAAACGUGUUUUUCACGAAUACUACUUUUUAUGACUCGUUUGGUCAUUGUUGACACCUUGAUAAAGAGUGAACUCGGAUCGAUAAGAUCGACCGAUUUUACACUUGUACAUUUGAUGCCGGCAUCUACGAACAACUCGCUUUCGCAUGUAUAUGCGCUUCAACGUACACGCGGGCACAUGUAUGUAAACAAAUGUAUGCACGCUCGUUCACACGCACGCACGCACGCACGCACGCACGCACGCACGCACGCACGCACGCACGCACGCAUGCACAAAUUUCAUUUUCUCUGGAAUGUUACAGUGAAACUGUUAUUUCAAAAUCAGCAUUUCGUACGAGGGAAACUUGCCUAUUUUCAAUGCAAUCGAAAUUCAAUUAUUGUUACGGAGAAUAACUACAUGCUACGUGGUCGCGUUUCUUGAUAUCUGUUUGAAUAAUUGCGAUAUUUUCCAUUGCAUUACGUUGAGAGGCAAAACGGGAUUCUCUUGAUAAUAAUAGUGACUGAUUAUUACUAUAAUAAUGAUAGCAAGAUCAAUGGUUGUCGUAUUAUUCAUCGCUCUGUUAUUCUCCCUCUGAUAUUCUUCUGCCCUUUCCGAUUAUCUACACCGGUUCGCGAUAUAUUACUUUCUCGUAACUUUUCACGUUCAGUGUCCGAUUGUACCAUGUAAAUGCACAUCAAACUAAACGACAGAUCUGUUCUCUUCGGAUCCGUAAGAAUGUUGUAUAAAUACAAAUAGUUGUUCCAUUUACCGCCAACUAUCAUUGCACGUUAGAAAAAUAGCAAUUAUAAAUAGCAGUUUGGAAAUGUGCACAUGCAAAUUACAAACUCGUGCAGGAGUGUCCACACCCUAGAGAAUUUCAAUUUCUAUUCGUCUAGAUGAUUUAAACGAAUGCUAUGUUCGCAACGCGAACCAUAAAAGUCGCGAACAUUCGAUAUUUCCAAUGCGUAGAUCGUACGAGAUAUGGCUUCCAUUCGAAUAUUUCAUAAACAUCAAAGUUCAAACUCCUGUACGAAAUUUUUAGCGUACAGGCAUGUAUAACAUGUACACGUACAUACAUAUGUAUAUGUGUGCUGCAUUUACGGCACAUUCCAGAAGACUGGCCCAAUAAGCAUAACGAUUAUCAAUUUAUUAUCUAUUUAUACUACUUCAUUUUUGACAAACCCCCCGCCCCCCAUCUCUCUCUCCCUCUAUUCCUUCUCUCGUUAAGUAGAAGAUAAUUACAAGAAACUAAACAUACUAUUCAACCAUCUACAACUCGUCUAGCCGAUAAGACUUGUAACCAUAUAAAAGGAAUCGCAUUUGCUAUUGGAAAUUUCAAUCGGUAGUUUCUCGAUAUUCGCUUGGCAUGUCUCAUAGCACAUUCAAUCUUACAUUUACGACAUUCGAUGGCGGUACGAGGUCGAGAUUGAGAACUUGCAAAGAGUCGCAUGUAACGAUACGUUAAUAUGCGUGUAUACACGAUCGCUCGAUUGCAAAUUCGAAAACUCGUAUUCGUACUUGUUUCAAAUACGACAGGUUACACGACAGGUGUUCCUUAAACACGAAUCGCGUAUAGCAACCCUUGCCCCCUCUCUGUCUCUCUGUCUCUCUGUUUGUCUCUCUCUCUCUCUCUCUCUCUCUCUCUCUCUCUCUCUCUCUUGUUUUCUCUCGUUCAGUUGGUUGUUUAGUUUAGAAAGCACGAGCAAGCGCGUAUGUACACUGUGUACAAACAUGCCAACUUUCGUCUGUAUCUCUUCGUUUCGACGAAACUGUCCUCUGCUCUGCUCACGAUCGAUAAUCGGAAGAAAAGCAAGAGCAGCGACAUUAAACGCCAGGUACACGCUCACGUUUUUCUCUUUGAAAGAAAAUCGAAAACGAGAGAGACACCUAAUAGAAAGGACCAAAUCAAUAACGAAUAAGAUACGAAUAGGCGAAGAAAAGUGAAGAAAAGGCAGGAGUAGUUUAGCUGAAUCGUACAGAAAGAAAGAGAGAAAGAGAAACAACAACAAAGAAACCAGAAGAAAGUAACAAACUUCUUUGGGCAGUUUUCGGUUUGAUCAUUUCUAGCCAGCGAUCAUGUCAAAACCUGACACGCCAAAGUAUGUGACCGCGCUGUAUUCCUUUAAAGGAAAAAAUAACGACGAACUUUGCUUUAAGAAGGGUGACACGAUAAUGAUAAUGCAAAUGGACGACGAAGGUUGGUGGGAAGGUACGCUAAACGACAAAACAGGCUGGUUUCCGUCGAAUUAUGUGAAAGAGUGCAGAGUUUCUGACAGUGGACCAUCGGUCGGUUUAAAAAUGUCUCCAGAGAAAACAAUGCAGGAUUCGCCGGCGCAUCAAAAAUUAAAUCGUGACAUUGUGUUACAAGAUAUAAUCGACUCCGAAGGAGUGAAUAUAGCAGAGCUUCAAGGUCUAAUAAACAAUUUCUUACUUCUCCUAGAAUCGGCUAAUAUAUUGACUAAAGAGGAGUACAAGCAACUCACAGGUAAUAUACAUGAAAUUUUGGAGGCGCAUCAAAGGUUGCUUAUUAAUUUGAACGCGGCCAUAGCCCAAGGUUGUUCUUCCAGAGUCGGCAAUGUUUUCUUAACUCUAGCGCCGAAAUUGAAAUCCAUUCAUGCUACUUAUUGCGCAAAUCACCCACGGGCUGUGUGUAUUUUAGAUCGUUACAGAGACGAAUUAAAUGAAUUUAUGGAACAUAGCGGAGCAAUAUCACCCGGCAUUUUAGUCUUGACGACUGGUCUAAGUAAACCUUUUCGAAGAUUAGACAAAUAUUCUGCGAUGCUGCAAGAGUUGGAAAGAUACAUGGAAAAGAAUCAUCCCGACAGAGGAGAUACUCAGCGAAGUAUAUCCGUGUACAGAGAAAUAGCGGACGAGUGUGCAUCGAUACGAAAGCAACGCGAACUGGCCCUCCAAGUGUUAACUAGCGGUAUCAAGGGAUGGGAGGGAGAAGAAUUGAGUUCCCUCGGGGAGAUACUCCACGUUGGAUCUGUAACUUUAGCGAGUGGAACGACAGGUUUGGAUCGUCGAGACAGAUACUUUGUCCUUUUCCCUACGACUUUAUUGGUGCUCAGUGCCAGCCCCAGAAUGAGUUCGUUCGUUUACGAGGGGAAGCUUCCGUUGACUGGUAUCAAUAUUAUUCCGACAGAAGAUAACGAUGAAAUUAGAAAUGCCUUUGAAAUUACAGGACCGAUGAUCGAAAGUAUUCUCGUGCUCUGUACCUCGAAAGAAGACCGGCAACGUUGGAUCGAACUUUUGAUUCAAGAACAAGCGAGUAGCAGCCUCGUAAAAUCGUCGACAACGUCACGUGUGAGUUGUAGUCUACCUCCGUACACUUGCCUUUCUAGAUAUUUCGCGAUGCUGGUAAAGAGAAAAGUUAUACGUGCCGAGCUACUGAAAAAACUGUUGUACGUCCAAUAUGUCCUGAAACCGGAUUUAACUAACGUGAAGAUGCGAAAGCCUAACGUAACGACCUACACGCUGUAUCCUAUGGAAGUGAGCGACCGAUGUCGGUCGGACGAUUCCGAUACGAGCAGUUGUUUCGAAGCGAAGGAGACGGCGGAAAAUCAAGGAUACCCUGAAAGAGUAACGUUGCGCAAAUCGACCUUAACUCUCGAGGUGAAAUAUGCGUUGGGCGAUGUCGAUCUUAGUACUGUGGGUAUAACGAACAGUUCAUCUUUAACGGAACUUGCGCCGGAAUGCGACAGCACACGCGAAUCCAGCAUAAGUUUACCCGUUACCGUGUUCACUUGUACCGCAACCCAACCCGACACUCUCACUCUUGUCGAUAACGCGAGCAACGUUGCUGGUUGCGAGUCGCGUUUCACAGAUAUUCUCCCCCUGUCUUUAUCGAAUGCUCGCGAUCUAUAUCGAAAGCGACCCGGCAAGGCGAACGGACGGCUCGCAGAUGGUACGUUCACGACAAACUGUUCGAAGAAUGCUGCACUCGCUCGAGAGCAAUCGAUCGGUGGCAUUCCCAGAAAUCGGUCGGUUAUUCAGACGUGCGACAGGAAUCGUGGAUAUCAGUGGCCGACGUCCGCACGCCGAAAAUUCGACACGGAACGCGAGAUACGCGGUGCAUCCAGUAUUCAUUCGUCGGACUCAGGAAUGGUCGAGUGUUAUCGUCUAAAUUCGUCCGAGGUCAAUUCUUGUAAAUCGUACACUUGUAUCGGCAGUAAUAAGUGCGAUGUCAGAGUAGCCGGAAGAAAUUCGUUCGACGAGAGUGAAAACGACGAAAAUAAAUUUGAACAUCAGUGCAUUUGCACAUCACCGUUUGAUUCUACUCCUAGGGACAGUGCGCAUCUGUCAGAUUUAUCGAGAAACGCCGACGAUACCACCUCGAGUUGUUCGAUUUCGAAACUGUCUAGCCGGCCCGUGUACGAUACCAGCGAGACGCAAGUGGGAGGAAAUGCAAGUACGGCUGACGCGCGUCUGGAUAAAUUCGAGCAUCCGAUGACGUCUAAAAGAUUCACGCAACCGAUACCUUACGCGCACCGAACCGUUACACGAAAAGUAGGAAGAAAGCCAGUCGUCCAACCGAACGCGCAACACGAUUGCGAAGAACCAAGUCGAGUCUAUACGUCGGGGCUGUACGCUCACUGGUGGUUGAAGAAAUCUAUACCGUUUUCUGGAUCCACGGAUCAAGGUUUGCAGUCAACAGAACGGGAAACAACUGCAACAACAACGAUCAAUUGCGGAACAGUGCCCGCCUUUAGGGAUUAGAACAGCUUGGUGUAUUGCUUCGUUACGUCCAGCUCCUCCACUCUACGCUUUCAGGGCAUUUGGUAAAACUGAUCCGGGAUUGGAUUUAUCACGCGCACCACGACCGUGCAAUGAACGACAAUUUGAAGAAGAUGCGAUUAUACUAAAGGUCAUCGAAGCAUACUGCCUUACUGUGAACGCUCGGUUCACUGUGCACUCUGGAGAAUCGACUC